CGGAACGGAAAUGACACCGCGAAUCGAUUGAAAAUCGCUCAGAGAUGAGCAAGAACGAUAUAAUAUUCAAAACAGUGCCCCGUAUUCUUCAGGCCGAAAACCUUUAAGUGUUCAGUUCUAUUUAUUAAACGACGAACACGUACCACCAAUGGCCGUUACAGAACUACCCACCACAAACGGACCAAGCAGUGUGGAGAAAAGGAGGAAUGGACAUGUGAGGACAUUCUGGAUGGGAAGGGAUCCUACACAUGGGAGGAGAUCCUGGCUGGAAGGGAUCGCUUCCCAUGGGAACAGGUAGAGGCAGCCAGGACAGCAGAGGCAGCAGGAGAAGGGAACCAGUGUUACGAGGGAACACGGCUGGCGAGGAAGCCCGAGAGGCAUCCCCAAAAACAUUUUUAGGGGGGGCACACAGGGAGUGUGGCAGAGUCAGGUUGGAGACCUGAGCCCACUCCCCGUGCUUACCGGGUCGAGCAUGUGACUGAUCAGGCCCCGUGCUAUGGGGUGAUGCGCACUGUGUCUCGGCCGAGCAUUCACAGGCCGGUGUGCUCCGUGCCAGCGUCCCGCAUUUGCCGGGUGGAAGCUGGCAUCUAGCCAGAAUGGGUGGGGCCAGCUAUGCGGUUGAGACCGCCAGUGCGUCUCCACGGCCCUGUGUAUCUUGUGCCUCAGCCAAGGAAGAGGUCGCCUGUAUGUCUCCCCAGCCUGGUGAGUCCUGUGCCUGUUCCCAGAACCAGGUCUCCUGUGUCGCCCUCCAGCCCGGAGCUGCCAGAGUCGCCCUCCAGCCCGGAGCUACCAGAGUCGCCCUCCAGCCCGGAGCUGCCAGAGCCGCCCUCCAGCCCGGAGC